rnacentral:lncRNA from 1 species
UUUCCAUAUACCCCGCAAGUCCUAGAAUCUGAGCUCCAACUGUCUCCAUCGACCCCGCUAGUCCUAGAAUCUGAGCUUUAGGUAUCUCCAUCAACCCCCUAAGCCUUAUAACUGAGUAGAAAGGUCCUACUCCCUGGUUCAUUCCCUGUAUCUUCCAGUGAUUGUAAAGAAGGUCGAUAUUCUUGUUGUUUGGAUAGAUAUGAGGAAAAAAUGGAAUCAUCGUAGAUAGUAGGCCCUGCAGAUUAUUCAAGGUGGGAGUUUACCAAGUGGGGAUAUGGAUGAAAGGGAUAACAUGGAGAGUGUAGUUCAUGG